AUGGAGAAUGCAUUGCUGAAGCUUUGGUCAAUGGUUGAAGAGAGCAAGUCUGCUAGGGUGAAUGAUAAUCUUCAAAGUGCUUUAACUAUUCACCAUUUGACAGAAGAAAAGAAGAAGCUGGAUGUAGAUUAUGACAAGUUAGUGAAAUAUGUGCAUCAACUUGUGGACUUUCAGCAGGAUAGGGUUAUGGAUUUUAGUUAUCUGCAGUCAGCUGUCACAUAUCAGCACGAAUGCAGAGCUGAAUUGGUGGCUCGUAAGAAUGCAGAAAUGGCAAAGAAAGAUGCAGCUACAGAGAAGCUUCAACAGAAGUAUGAAAUCAUGUGCAACCUGACAAGUGCUCAAGCAAUUGCCAUCCAAAACCUCAAGUUGAAGAAUAUGAAAGAGAAGGAAUUGCUGAGUGAGGCUAGGAUGAAUUUGGAGUUGAAGAAUGCAGAGUUCACAAAGUUUGAGGAGAAGCUCGCCCAAGAGAAGCUAGAGUUGAAGUUCCAGGUUGCUGAUCUGCUGAAGCUCAAGGAAAACCAUAAUGAAGAGAAGCAAAUGCAAGAGUUUAAGAUAACUGAGCUCAUGAAGGCAGAGGAGAAGCUGAAGGAGAAGAUCAAGGGGAUCCAGGCCAUCUUGGAGAACUGA
rnacentral:rRNA from 1 species